ACUGCUAAUACUCUAUACUCCUGUCUUACAUAAGUUAGAUAGGGAAAGUUUUUCGGUGUAGGAUGAGGCUAUAUUGUAUCAGCUAGUUGGUGAGGUAAUGGCUCACCAAGGCUAUGACGCAUAACUGGUCUGAGAGGAUGAUCAGUCACACUGGAACUGAGACACGGUCCAGACUCCUACGGGAGGCAGCAGUAGGGAAUAUUGCUCAAUGGGGGAAACCCUGAAGCAGCAACGCCGCGUGGAGGAUGACACUUUUCGGAGCGUAAACUCCUUUUGUUAGGGAAGAAUAAUGACGGUACCUAACGAAUAAGCACCGGCUAACUCCGUGCCAGCAGCCGCGGUAAUACGGAGGGUGCAAGCGUUACUCGGAAUCACUGGGCGUAAAGGACGCGUAGGCGGAUUAUCAAGUCUCUUGUGAAAUCCUAUGGCUUAACCAUAGAACUGCUUGGGAAACUGAUAAUCUAGAGUGAGGGAGAGGCAGAUGGAAUUGGUGGUGUAGGGGUAAAAUCCGUAGAGAUCACCAGGAAUACCCAUUGCGAAGGCGAUCUGCUGGAACUCAACUGACGCUAAUGCGUGAAAGCGUGGGGAGCAAACAGGAUUAGAUACCCUGGUAGUCCACGCCCUAAACGAUGUAUACUAGUUGUUGCUAAGCUAGUCUUGGCAGUAAUGCACCUAACGGAUUAAGUAUACCGCCUGGGGAGUACGGUCGCAAGAUUAAAACUCAAAGGAAUAGACGGGGACCCGCACAAGCGGUGGAGCAUGUGGUUUAAUUCGAAGAUACGCGAAGAACCUUACCCGGACUUGAUAUCUAACAAAUCAUCCAGAGAUGGAAGAGUGUCUGCUUGCAGAAAUGUUAAGACAGGUGCUGCACGGCUGUCGUCAGCUCGUGUCGUGAGAUGUUGGGUUAAGUCCCGCAACGAGCGCAACCCACGUCAUUAGUUGCUAACAGUUCGGCUGAGCACUCUAAUGAGACUGCCUUCGUAAGGAGGAGGAAGGUGUGGACGACGUCAAGUCAUCAUGGCCCUUAUGUCCGGGGCGACACACGUGCUACAAUGGCAUAUACAAUGAGACGCAAUAUCGCGAGAUGGAGCAAAUCUAUAAAAUAUGUCCCAGUUCGGAUUGGAGUCUGCAACUCGACUCCAUGAAGCCGGAAUCGCUAGUAAUCGU
rnacentral:rRNA from 1 species